UACGUAGGUGGCAAGCGUUGUCCGGAAUUAUUGGGCGUAAAGCGCGCGCAGGGUGGUUUCUUAAGUCUGAUGUGAAAGCCCACGGCUCAAACCGUGGAGGGUCAUUGGAAACUGGGGAACUUGAGUGCAGGAGAAGAAGAGUGGAAUUCCACGUGUAAGCGGUGAAAUGCGUAGGAGAAUGUGGAGGAACACCAGUGGCGAAGG
rnacentral:rRNA from 1 species